rnacentral:tRNA from 1 species
AGGGAUAGUAGUUAAAAUUUAACAUUUAAAUUGCAAUUAAAAAAUACUGGAAAGAUACAGUCAUCCUUA